rnacentral:rRNA from 1 species
GACGAACGCUGGCGGCGUGCCUAAUACAUGCAAGUUGAGCGCUGAAGGUUGGUACUUGUACCAACUGGAUGAGCAGCGAACGGGUGAGUAACGCGUGGGGAAUCUGCCUUUGAGCGGGGGACAACAUUUGGAAACGAAUGCUAAUACCGCAUAAAAACUUUAAACACAAGUUUUAAGUUUGAAAGAUGCAAUUGCAUCACUCAAAGAUGAUCCCGCGUUGUAUUAGCUAGUUGGUGAGGUAAAGGCUCACCAAGGCGAUGAUACAUAGCCGACCUGAGAGGGUGAUCGGCCACAUUGGGACUGAGACACGGCCCAAACUCCUACGGGAGGCAGCAGUAGGGAAUCUUCGGCAAUGGACGAAAGGCUGACCGAGCAACGACGCGUGAGUGAAGAAGGGUUUCGGAUCGUAAAACUCUGUUGGUAGAGAAGAACGUUGGUGAGAGUGGAAAGCUCAUCAAGUGACGGUAACUACCCAGAAAGGGACGGCUAACUACGUG